UCCUUAUGCAUGAGAAUGAUUUUUAUGUAGAAUUUUUUGCACCCAGAAGGUGUGUGAUAUCUUCUUCAGAUCCUCUUUGAAUUGAAAUUUCAUUGGAUUGAGUUUGAGUUCAAAUUGAUUUGAAAUCAAACUUAAAUCAAGAGUCCAAAUUUUGUAGAACUCUACUUAGCCGCCGACCAGCCUUCUUCUCACGUGUAAAAUGAAUUUUUCGUGUGAUGUUUUUU
rnacentral:lncRNA from 1 species